UUGGUUACAUAGUCAUGAUUAGCUGAAAGAAAAGAUGGGAAAUGUUAUUUAUCUUGCCAUGUGCUCGGAUAAGUCAUUACAGUAUAAGAAAAAGAAAUAGAUUUUAUAUAACGAUGAGCAAUCUGCCACGCAUGGAAGGGUUAACUCAGCAAGACAGAGUUGCUCGAAUCCUGCAUACUCCAGAGAAAAGAUUAUCUUCAGGACUGACCCUUGCCAGCUCUUGGGAGAUGAGCUCUGAGUCCUUGGAAUGCCUACCUGCAAAUACUUACCACAGUACUAUACGAUUUACAGUUGGUUGAAUAAACAGAUACAGAAUUUUGGAUUUUGAAGACGAUUGGCAAAAUUUUGCUUCCCUGGUGGCUCAGAAGGUGGCUCAUUGUUUGCCUGCAACCUGGGAGAUUCGGGUUCGAUCCCCGGGUCAGGGAGAUCCCCUGGAGAAGGCAAUGGCACCCCACGCCAGGACUCUUGCCUGGAAAAUCCCAUGGACAGAGCAGCCUGGUGGGCUACAAUCUGUGGGGUCACAAAGAGUUGAAUAUGUCUGAUUCUCUGGACUCCGGAGAGGGGACACUGCCUGCUUCAAACCUGCUUAGAUCAGUUAAACUGUACUCUUUGAGUAUUUUAACAGACUUAAACAUGUCAUUUUAGGGGACACAUUUCAGCCCGUAACAGGAAAAGUCUUAUCAAUCUUACUCCACGUGCUUUAAAGUUUCACAGAGUUCAUUCAGGUUGUGUCAUCAUGUUGUCUGUCCCUUUUAAUUUUUCACUUUAUAGAUUUUGUCCUUUCUGGAAUUUGUAUGAUGAUUUAAAUGAAAGCUGGGAAAAGUUUUCCUGGAGUUGGUAUCCAGAUGCCAUUUUUAACCAUAUUGUUGUUCUGUUCUUUUGAACGUACUAAUAUAUUUCAUGGCUGUUUGGCAGUUUCUCUUAAUAUUUUUAGGAAAAUGUUUAGAGGAUAAAUGGAAGUCAGAUAAGUAAAGGUUGAGAAAUGAGGUGGAUUUUGGUUGUGUCACUGUAGAAUCUCAAAUCUCUCGAUAAAUCCCUUACACCAUAUAUUUCCUGGUUGUUCUCCUUCUCAUAUCAAACCCUGACUGAAGCAGUUUGACAGGGGAAACAGUAGUUCAGGUUCUGAAAAUCAGCUAGAUUUUUUUUUUUUAUAUCCAACCCAUCAAAAAAGUGAAUCAAGUAUGAUUUUGAAGGACAAUUUGAUGUAUCACAGAAAAUGAUAAAGCAUCAGAAUUGUUGUAUUCCAAAGCUGUGUUUUGGCUGACUUUUUCUGGGUAGUUAUUUCUAUUCUGUAUUUGACCUAAUAAAGUCAGGGAUUUACUUCAACUAAUCCAUUUGUCAUGGCUUAUAAAUCUGUUCUGUUUUUGUUGCAGAUACCAUGUAACAAAGUAAUGAUUAAUAAAAAUAUUCAAAUGGACAUCAGCUCUCUUAGUGACCUACAGUUUAUUAAUACAUGAACACAUAUGCAUGCUUUUUAUUCAAAGACAUUGCCUCUAUUAAGGACUAAAGUGUAAUUUUAAACUAUAGCAGCCACCAAACAACAACCAAAAAACCCAGAAAAAUAUGACUCUUGCCAGACUUCCUCUGAACAAUACGAUGUGACUAAAAUAGUUCUCUAGAGAAAAAAUGUGCAAGAAUGGCUAUUUACCUAAGUAACAUUUUAUGCCAAAACAGCACAAUGAUUUAUAAUAUUAUAGGCCAUUUCAGAAGUUGCUGCAGGAUACCUCGUGCAGAUAGUGUAAAUUACAGUGAUUUGUGGAAGUGUAGAGUGGAAGACUGGAGCAAUAAAGAAAGAAGAAUAAUAUUCUUCCUUGAAUCAUUGGGGAAAGCACAGCUCAGCACAUGUCUCCAGGCAAAUUUGAGUAGUACAGUGCAUUGAAGUUCAAGUUUCUGAAAUGUCAAACCUAAAUGACGAUGAGAUUACAUUAGAAAAAAAUCAAGAUGACAAGUGGCUCAUUUGAUGCUGUGAAUAGUAUCUUCGUAAAAUUCACUUACGGUGUGGUGCACUGGGAAGCACUUCAAGCUCUUAGGUGAAGAGGGAAAUAAUAUUGUUAAAUAUCUGAGGGGAGGGAAGCAAACCAGGAGAAAGAAUUGGGCUGGGCAAAGAAUUUUUAAUUUAUGCCUCAAUCAUGAGCCCCUUACUGAUUCAUCAGUGACCUUCCAAAA